rnacentral:rRNA from 1 species
AACGAACGCUGGCGGCAUGCCUAACACAUGCAAGUCGAACGAGACCUUCGGGUCUAGUGGCGCACGGGUGCGUAACGCGUGGGAACCUGCCCUUAGGUUCGGAAUAACUCCCCGAAAGGGGUGCUAAUACCAGAUAAUGUCUUCGGACCAAAGAUUUAUCGCCUUUGGAUGGGCCCGCGUUGGAUUAGCUAGUUGGUAGGGUAAAAGCCUACCAAGGCGACGAUCCAUAGCUGGUCUGAGAGGAUGAUCAGCCACACUGGGACUGAGACACGGCCCAGACUCCUACGGGAGGCAGCAGUGGGGAAUAUUGGACAAUGGGCGAAAGCCUGAUCCAGCAAUGCCGCGUGAGUGAUGAAGGCCUUAGGGUUGUAAAGCUCUUUUACCCGGGAUGAUAAUGACAGUACCGGGAGAAUAAGCUCCGGCUAACUCCG